GACGAACGCUGGCGGCGUGCCUAAUACAUGCAAGUCGAACGGUUUAGUUCCAAGAGGCUUGCCUUUUGGAACUAGACAGUGGCGGACGGGUGAGUAACACGUAGGCAACCUACCUGUCAAACCGGGAUAACCUCGGGAAACCGAAGCUAAACCCGGAUAAGCUCCUUUUUCGCAUGAAGGGGGAGUGAAAAGGUGCGACCUGAUGACAGAUGGGCCUGCGGCGCAUUAGCUAGUAGGUAGGGUAACGGCCUACCUAGGCGAUGAUGCGUAGCCGACCUGAGAGGGCGUACGGCCACACUGGGACUGAGAUACGGCCCAG
rnacentral:rRNA from 1 species